CCAAAUCUCAUCUUCAAUUCCUACAUGUUGUGGGAGGGACCCAAUGGCAGGUAAUAGAAUUAUUGGGGUAGGUCUUUCCUGUGCUAUUCUUUUGACAGUGAAUAAGUCUCAUGAGAUCUGAUGGUUUCAAAAGAUCACAAGCUCUCUCUUUGCCUGUUGCCAUCCAUGUAAGACAUGACUUGCUCCUCCUUGCCUUCUGCCAUGAUUGUGAGGCCUCUCCAGCCACAUGGAAUUUUUUUCAUCCAGUGACUACCAAAUGGAGGAAUUAUCGUCUUGAAGGGGAACGUAUCAAUCACUUAAGGAAACUAGAUGGGAGACUGAAGGUGGCAAAAGGAGAGGCAUAGCAAAUGGAAGAAGGUGUCCUAGAGUCACUCUUAAACUUUGAGAAGUUUGAGAUAUUAGGUUGGUGCAAGAGUAAUUGCAGGUUUUACCAUUACUUUUAAGAGCACAAGGACCAAACAUAUGAAUAUUUACACUAAAAAAUAAACUAGAGUUGCUUCAUCUAAGACUACUGUAAAUGCUUUUCUCCCAUUAAUCUUAAUUUGAAAAAGGAAAAAGAGAUAGUGAUUUUUACCGACCUCUCAACAGGAUUCGUGAAAGACACCUGGGAAUCUGACUGGGAAGAUAUUCUUACCCUACGGCUGGCGUGUCAGAUCCUGGGUUCCCUUGAUGUGACAUCCAGAGGAGCAGAGUGGUUUUGGUUAUCCUGCUCUACAACAAAACUGUAGAGCUUUUUGUAUCCUGCAGUACAACAAAACUGCAGAAGCCAAGGGGAAACUUCCCCUUCGCCUUCUGAAGGCUCACUGAAAAUCAGCUGACAAACAGCCCAUUAUUAGGAGAAAAGCCAAACAAAAUUUAUUAUUGCACACACAUGUGCAUGGAAGUAAUACAAAAUGUGAAAACUCAAAGAAAGGGCCAGGUGGUUAACGCCAUUACACCAUCUUGAGAUUAUAGAAUAAACAUGGGCUUGGAGUGUAGCAAGACGGUUAUAGGAGGGAGAAAGAAAGGCAUGGGGCAAAGGUGGGCUUGUUGUGUACAUGAAACCUCACAGACAGCAGCUCUCAGAAAAAAAGAGAUGGUAGUUUGUGGUUGAGUACAUCUUUUCUAGAUCUGGAUAAGGGGGAGGGCCUCAGAGAAAGUCUGGGUAUUUAUUUCACUAACGUGGAUUUUUCUCUACAGAUGCAAAUUUCUUCCACAAAAGGCAGCUUUUCAGGGCUAUUCCUGUCCGUAG
rnacentral:lncRNA from 1 species